rnacentral:rRNA from 1 species
UACGGGGGGGAGCAAGCGUUGUUCGGAUUUACUGGGCGUAAAGGGCGCGUAGGCGGCCCGCUAAGUCGAACGUGAAAUCCCCGAGCUCAACGUCGGAACUGCGUCCGAUACUGGCGGGCUUGAAUCCGGGAGAGGGAUGUGGAAUUCCUGGUGAUAGCGGUGAAAUGACGCAGAUAUCAAGGAAGAACACCUAUGGCGAAGGCAGCACUCUGGGACGGUACUGACGCUGAGACGCGAAAGCGUGGGGAGCGAACAGG